GUGGAUUGGCCAAGCCUUUAGCUACAUCUGAUUGCUAGCAGGAGUAGAAGAGGGAGACGGGGAGGGGGGCCUCUGCGGGAAGCAGCAACAAGGUGAAAUGGGAAGGUCACCGAAAUUUAAGCCCCUGCCAUUCACACACCUCUUAGCUGUGUGACCUUGGAUGAGUCACCACUUUUCUGAGCCUUAAAAAUCACAAAAAGCUGCUAUUUGAGUGCUUACCAUCUUCCUGGCACUAAUCUAAGCACUUUCCCCAUAUUACUCAUUUAAUCCUCAAGACAGCCCUAGGAAGAGUAUUAUCCUUAUUUGACAUCCAUCAAAUUGAGGGUUGUUGUGAUUAUCAAAGAGGGAUGGUGAGGGAGGCCCUCUUGAGAAGAUGACACCUACCCAGAGAGCUGAAUGAAGGGACGCAGGACCGGCAGGACAAGGCUCGGAGGUGGGUCCCAGCCCAGCUGGGCGGAGCAACGACAGGACACAUGGCUGAGAAGAACGAGUGGAGAGAGAAACAUACAUUUGGAGGAAGUACCCUACAAGCAAGUCACAUCACCCAGAGAUGCUUAACUGGGGUCUUGUGGAUCUCCAUUCCUGGAUCUCCUCCCCCAGUCCUCCUCCUUCUCCCCCUGCCUGCCCUCCCACCCUCAACCCUUAUUUCCCCCUCUCUCUCCCUUCCUCAUUGCCCUCCAGAACCCAGAGGGGAACAUGAUUCUCAGAGACCAGGAACCAUGGAAGUGAGCUCCAAACUCCUUUGCUCAUACCAGCAACUUCGGCCUGGUGAACCUGGGGCUCAGAGAGUGCUGGCAUCCUGGUUGAAGACCCCCAGCAAGACCUGCUGCCAAAGUGAGACCAGACUACCUGACCACUUAGCAUUUAGGGCUCGAGGCUGUGCUGGAGGAAAGGAGACAGCAGGGGCCUGCAUUUUCUGUCUCUGAAAAACACUGAAACAAGCCAGCCUCCCAGCCACACUGAGCUCCUGCUGCCCAGCCUCAGUGAAGGCCAUGGCUUCUCAGCAGCAAACCAUGAUUGCUCAUGUUGCCUUUCCUGCUGAAUGAUUUUAGUUGAAUAAUUUUGCAUGAUCUCAGCACAGCAUGAAGAAAGAGUACAGCCGAGGACACGGGGCUUAUAGUGAGGGAAAAGGGGUAGAACUGGAAUCUAAAGAGCUCCCUUCAAUCUGACCUUGGCCAGUGACUGGAAUUUCCAACCAACUGUUGCUGGUUACCACUAAUGACAGCAGUCUCUCCCUCUGUGCAUGGUUCUUAGUGGGUCCCCAAAAGGAAAAGGGCUCGGGGUGGCUCGCAGCCUCACGUGGUCAUGGGUAGGUCCCACGUUGAUCGUCGUACCAGGCAGGCAUUGCACUAGAAUUAUCUCACUGAAUCUCCACCACCUCCCCACACCUACCACCCCCCCCACCCAACACACACAUACCCAGGAAACAGGCAUUGUCAUCCCCAUGUGCAAUGAGGAAACAGGCGUAGCACAGACUUGCCUGAGGCCCCCACCCAGUAAGGGCUCAUAGAGCCAAGGUCAAGCUCAGAUUGACAGACCUCAAACAGGAUUGCCUUACACCCUGUAAGGCAAUUGCCUUACACACUUACACUUGGGUGUAAGUGAAGGCCUUACACCCAAACUGGGAGUGGAGAACUUUUUCCAAACUGGAAGGAAGCUCUAGGAGAGGAGCAGAGUCCAAGGAAGAAAUUCAAGGUGUUUUCCUGGAAAAGGAAGAGUCAGAAAAGCAGGGCAGUUAGCAGAUUUGGGAAAAAAGCUGAAUCACAAUUUAGAGCUGCCAGGACUCUCAGAGGGCUUGAAAUCAUCCCCUUCACUUUGCAGAUGAAUUUCACCAUAACCCCAGAGAAGUCAAGCAGCUUGGCCAAGGUCACACAGCAGCAGAUCUCUGACCACAGCCAAAUGCUCCCAAACCCCAUGACCUUACAUGGGAUUGGGCCUCCCCCACCCACAAGGCCAGCCCAGCUCUAGCUCCCACAAGGUUAGGUCAGGUUGGGCCAGAGGAUGGGUGGGAGGUGCCCAGUCCAGGUCCAGGCGGGGAGGAUGGUUUCUCCUGCUGUCUCACCCCCACUCAUUACUAUUCCUGGCAUCAUCCCCCUCACACCCCUUCCCGUGGAAACCCAGUGAUGCCGAGAGCUGGAAUUUGGACGUUUUCCCAGCAUUUGGGCUGUUAAUUAAAACUAAUAAAUCUGCCACUUGG